rnacentral:rRNA from 1 species
GUGUCAGCCGCCGCGGUAAUACGUAGGGGGCAAGCGUUGUCCGGAUUUACUGGGCGUAAAGCGCGUGUAGGCGGCGCGUCAAGUCGGGUGUGAAACCCCGGGGCUCAACCCCGGGCGGCCGCCCGAAACUGGCGCGCUUGAGGACGGAAGAGGGGAGUGGAAUUCCUGGUGUAGCGGUGAAAUGCGUAGAGAUCAGGAGGAACACCCGUGGCGAAGGCGGCUCCCUGGUCCGUCCCUGACGCUGAGACGCGAAAGCGCGGGGAGCGAACGGGAUUAGAUACCCCCGUAGUCC